CAGACGGGGCAGGGUGCUGGAAAAGCGGAACCCGAGAGCGGAGCCUACCCCGCGGGGAGAACCGGACCCGAAGGCUGUCGGGGGGCCGGGCGGUAAGCACGGGACAGGCCAGUCAGGGUUUCCCAAGCAGAAGCGCUUGGGGAUGGACCGAGCCGACUGAGCACGCUCCAGCCUGGCGCGGCUUUCGAACCAAGCGCCCUGCGGGAUCGAACGCGGCGUCCUGCGGGAUCGCAGUGUAGCGCCAAGAUAAGAUUACACGUGGUUUCUAGCGACUCGAGGGAGAGCGAGCAACAGGUAAAAACACUCAACGAAAUGCCGCCGAGGGAGAAGACUUAACUCGGGGAAGGCUCAGAGCAUAGGUGUCACGAGCUGGCGCGGAAAGGAGAAUUACGGAAUAGUUCUCCCCGGCUCUUCACCAGGUGCUCCAACAUCUGUCAGACCGUGGUGCAGAGGGAGGACUAAAUCUCUCUCCCCACAGGAAGCGCCCUCCCACCGCUCCCCUCCUCCACACACAAGAGCCUUCAGCUGCGGGCCUGAACCUGGCGCCCCUCGGCCAUCUGUUCCAGUAGCAACUCCUGAUGUUGGCCUGAAAAUGAGACAGAAUAUGAGGGGACCAUUCUUCAACUUCACUCCUUCCUCACUGCCUUGUGACCGGAUUAGUA